rnacentral:misc_RNA from 1 species
GAAAAAUCAUUCUGUUUACAGUGAAAACAAAAGAUUCAGUUUACACAUAACUUGAAAGAAAAAAGAGAAAUAUUGACUAAACUCCACGCUAGAAUUGUUUAGGUCAAUGUACUGAAAAACCGACAAUUAGAGGUCAGAGGGAUUUUACUGUGUAAAAUUUAAAAGUUGAAAGGGAUUUUAUGUUACAUUUUUAAGUUGAAGGACUAUAAUGUUAUACUAGAUAAGUUCAGGGACGAUUGUCAAAAUUUAUCCUACCAUUCACUUGCAUCUAGGUCCUUUGAAUUUUUGGAUCUUCCUUUAUCACAUUAGCUUCCUUUGUAUUUCAACCUUUUGCUUUCUCUGUUCUUUUUUAAUUUUAGCACAGGUUAAAUUUUGUUUCCUCUCAAUGUUCAACAGCGACUAAAAAAGAAAUCACCUCAAAUAUACUUGUUGAGAAGCCUCUCUUUCCCUCAAUACCCUCUCCCACAAUUACUACUAUAAAACUAUAAGGCAGUAGCAAUUAUGUAUCUUGUACAACUUCUGUGGAAUCAUGGAUUAUAAGACAAAGGUAGAAUGACCAUUUAAUGAAGAAUUCUACAAAUAUUACAUCUUUUGAUCAAACAGCUUGGGUCAAAGUAGUGCACAACUAUGUAGUCUCUCAUAGCAUUCUCUUUAUUCAAAGUUGCUCAUUUCCAGUCCUACAAAAUUUAAUGUAAAAUUUAGACUAAAGCAAUAACACUGUUCACAUAUGAUGUCUAACGCAUAUACAAGGUUGUUUCAAAUAUUGUUCACUUGGAAGAAGAUCAUCAAGACAUGACAAGUUACUUGGGUCAAGUAGGAAUGCUUAAAGACGGAUUCAAUUCUCACAUAAGAUGAUUUCAAGUCCUCCUACACUAUCUUUACUAGAAUGUGAGUCAUGUCAACUUGGGAAACAAACUCGUGCUUCCUUUCCCAAGUGUGGCAAUAAUAGGGCUACCUCUAUGUUUGACAUUGUUCAUUCAGACACUUGGGGUCCAAGUCGUGUCAGUUCAACUUUGAUAUUUCAUUAUUUUGUUACAUUUAUUAAUGAUUAUUCUCGUUGCACUUUGUUAUUUUAAUGAAAAAUCAUUAUGAAUUAUUCUCUAUCUUUCAAAAUUUUUGUGCUAAAAUUCGUAAUCAGUUUAGUGUUUCAAUAAAAGAUUUACGUAGUAUGCAAGAGAAUAUCUCUCUUCUCCCUUUACUCAUUUCUUAUCUU